rnacentral:rRNA from 1 species
UACGAAGGGGGCUAGCGUUGCUCGGAAUCACUGGGCGUAAAGCGCACGUAGGCGGCUUGUUAAGUCAGGGGUGAAAUCCUGGAGCUCAACUCCAGAACUGCCUUUGAUACUGGCGAGCUUGAGUCCGGGAGAGGUGAGUGGAACUGCGAGUGUAGAGGUGAAAUUCGUAGAUAUUCGCAAGAACACCAGUGGCGAAGGCGGCUCACUGGCCCGGUACUGACGCUGAGGUGCGAAAGCG